AUACGGAGGGGGCUAGCGUUGUUCGGAAUUACUGGGCGUAAAGCGCACGUAGGCGGAUUAAAAAGUUAGAGGUGAAAUCCCAGGGCUUAACCCUGGAACUGCCUUUAAAACUAGUAGUCUAGAGUUCGCGAGAGGUGUGUGGAAUUCCAAGUGUAGAGGUGAAAUUCGUAGAUAUUUGGAGGAACACCAGUGGCGAAGGCGGCUCACUGGCUCGAUACUGACGCUGAGGUGCGAAAGCGUGGGGAGCAAACAGAAUUAGAAACCCCAGUAGUCC
rnacentral:rRNA from 1 species